GCCUACGGGGCGCAGCAGUGGGGAAUAUUGCACAAUGGGCGAAAGCCUGAUGCAGCAACGCCGCGUGAAGGAAGACGGUUUUCGGAUUGUAAACUUCUAUCAAUAGGGAAGAAAGAAAUGACGGUACCUAAAUAAGAAGCCCCGGCUAACUACGUGCCAGCAGCCGCGGUAAUACGUAGGGGGCAAGCGUUAUCCGGAUUUACUGGGUGUAAAGGGAGCGCAGGCGGCGUGGCAAGUCAGAUGUGAAAACCCGGGGCCCAACCCCGUGAGUGCAUUUGAAACUGCCAUGCUGGAGUGCCGGGGAG
rnacentral:rRNA from 1 species